AAUCAGUACCGUGAGGGAAUGGUGAAAAGUACCCCGGGAGGGGAGUGAAAUAGUACCUGAAACCGUGUGCUUACAAGCCGUUGGAGCCUUUUGGGGUGACAGCGUGCCUUUUGAAGAAUGAGCCUGCGAGUUAGUGUUAUGUCGCGAGGUUAACCCGUGUGGGGUAUCCGUAGCGAAAGCGAGUCUGAAUAGGGCGUUUGAGUGGCAUGACCUAGACCCGAAGCGGAGUGAUCUAUCCAUGGCCAGGUUGAAGCGACGGUAAGACGUCGUGGAGGACCGAACCCACUUCAGUUGAAAAUGGAGGGGAUGAGCUGUGGAUAGGGGUGAAAGGCCAAUCAAACUCUGUGAUAGCUGGUUCUCCCCGAAAUGCAUUUAGGUGCAGCGUUACGUGUUUCUUGCCGGAGGUAGAGCUACUGGAUGGCCGAUGGGCCUUCACGGGUUACUGACGUCAGCUAAACUCCGAAUGCCGGUAAGUGAGAGCGUAGCAGUGAGACAGUGGGGGAUAAGCUUCAUUGNNNNNNNNNNAAGGCCCCUAAGCGUGUGCUAAGUGGGAAAGGAUGUGGAGUUGCUUAGACAACCAGGAGGUUGGCUUAGAAGCAGCCAUCCUUGAAAGAGUGCGUAACAGCUCACUGGUCAAGUGAUUCUGCGCCGAUAAUGUAGCGGGGCUCAAGUACACCGCCGAAGUUGUGGCAAUGACCCUUUGGGGUUGUUGGGUAGGGGAGCGUCGUGUAGCCGGUGAAGCUGCGGUGUAAACCAGUGGUGGAGGCUAUGCGAGUGAGAAUGCAGGCAUGAGUAGCGAAAGAUGAGUGAGAAACUCAUCCGCCGGAUGAUCAAGGGUUCCAGGGUCAAGUUAAUCUGCCCUGGGUUAGUCGGGGCCUAAGGCGAGGCCGACAGGCGUAGUCGAUGGAUAACGGGUUGAUAUUCCCGUACCGGUGAAAAACCGCCCAUACUGAUAUUGUGAUGCUAACCAUGCGAAGCAUGAUGUGCAGGCUUUUGUUUGUGUGUUGUGUGGGNNNNNNNNNNAGCGUGUAGGGUUGUCGGUUGUUAAAUGCGCCGGCUGUGUGCCUGAGACGUGAUGGGACCCCGUUUUUGGGGGAUUUGGUGAUCCUAUGCUGCCGAGAAAAGCAUCGGCGUGAGGUUUUAGCCGCCCGUACCCUAAACCGACACAGGUGAUCAGGUAGAGAAUACUAAGGCGAUCGAGAGAAUCAUGGUUAAGGAACUCGGCAAAAUGCCCCCGUAACUUCGGGAGAAGGGGGACCUUGAGCGUGAUGGGCACUUGCUGCCUGGAGCGUGUAUGGGUCGCAGAGACCAGGGGGAAGCGACUGUUUAUCAAAAACACAGGUCCGUGCGAAGUCGUAAGACGAUGUAUACGGACUGACUCCUGCCCGGUGCUGGAAGGUUAAGAGGAUUGGUUAGCCUCUUUUGGGCGAAGCUGAGAAUUUAAGCCCCAGUAAACGGCGGUGGUAACUAUAACCAUCCUAAGGUAGCGAAAUUCCUUGUCGGGUAAGUUCCGACCUGCACGAAUGGAGUAACGACUUCCCUACUGUCUCAACCAUGAACUCGGCGAAAUUGCAGUACGAGUAAAGAUGCUCGUUUCGCGCAGCAGGACGGAAAGACCCCGUGACCUUUACUAUAGUUUGGUAUUGGUGUUUGGUUUGGCUUGUGUAGGAUAGGUGGGAGACUGUGAAGCAUGGACGCUAGUUUGUGUGGAGUCGUUGUUGAAAUACCACUCUGGUCAAUCUGGAUGUCUAACUUCGGGCCAUGAUCUGGUUCAGGGACAGUGCCUGAUGGGUAGUUUAACUGGGGCGGUUGCCUCCUAAAGUGU
rnacentral:rRNA from 1 species